rnacentral:rRNA from 1 species
UCCUAAACGACUCUCGGCAACGGAUAUCUCGGCUCUCGCAUCGAUGAAGAACGUAGCAAAAUGCGAUACCUGGUGUGAAUUGCAGAAUCCCGCGAACCAUCGAGUUUUUGAACGCAAGUUGCGCCCGAGGCCUUCUGGUUAAGGGCACGUCUGCCUGGGCGUCACG